GAUCUGGUUGGGCGGUCCGCCUCACGGUGUGUUACUGCUUGACCGGGUCUUGCCUCUUGGUGAACCGUAGUGUCCUUAAUUGGAUGCUUCGGGAAACCAGGACUUUUACCUUGAGAAAAUUAGAGUGUUCAAAGCAGGCCAGUGCCUGGAUACAUUAGCAUGGAAUAAUGGAAUAGGGCUGCUGCCCCAUUUUGUUGGUUUCUGGGACCGUAGCA
rnacentral:rRNA from 1 species